rnacentral:rRNA from 1 species
AGCUACAGGCUUAACACAUGCAAGUCGAGGGGCAGCAUUUCAGUUUGCUUGCAAACUGGAGAUGGCGACCGGCGCACGGGUGAGUAACACGUAUCCAACCUGCCGAUAACUCGGGGGUAGCCUUUCGAAAGAAAGAUUAAUACCCGAUGGUAUAAUCAGACCGCAUGGUCUUGUUAUUAAAGAAUUUCGGUUAUCGAUGGGGAUGCGUUCCAUUAGGCAGUUGGUGAGGUAACGGCUCACCAAACCUUCGAUGGAUAGGGGUUCUGAGAGGAAGGUCCCCCACAUUGGAACUGAGACACGGUCCAAACUCCUACGGGAGGCAGCAGUGAGGAAUAUUGGUCAAUGGGCGCAGGCCUGAACCAGCCAAGUAGCGUGAAGGAUGACUGCCCUAUGGGUUGUAAACUUCUUUUAUAUGGGAAUAAAGUUUUCCACGUGUGGAAUUUUGUAUGUACCAUAUGAAUAAGGAUCGGCUAACUCCGUGCCAGCAGCCGCGGUAACACGGAGGAUCCGAGCGUUAUCCGGAUUUAUUGGGUUUAAAGGGAGCGUAGGUGGACAGUUAAGUCAGUUGUGAAAGUUUGCGGCUCAACCGUAAAAUUGCAGUUGAUACUGGCUGUCUUGAGUACAGUAGAGGUGGGCGGAAUUCGUGGUGUAGCGGUGAAAUGCUUAGAUAUCACGAAGAACUCCGAUUGCGAAGGCAGCUCACUGGACUGCAACUGACACUGAUGCUCGAAAGUGUGGGUAUCAGACAGGAUUAGAUACCCUGGUAGUCCACACAGUAAACGAUGAAUACUCGCUGUUUGCGAUAUACAGUAAGCGGCCAAGCGAAAGCAUUAAGUAUUCCACCUGGGGAGUACGCCGGCAACGGUGAAACUCAAAGGAAUCGACGGGGGCCCGCACAAGCGGAGGAACAUGUGGUUUAAUUCGAUGAUACGCGAGGAACCUUACCCGGGCUUAAAUUGCAUUUGAAUAUAUUGGAAACAGUAUAGCCGUAAGGCAAAUGUGAAGGUGCUGCAUGGUUGUCGUCAGCUCGUGCCGUGAGGUGUCGGCUUAAGUGCCAUAACGAGCGCAACCCUUAUCUUUAGUUACUAACAGGUCAUGCUGAGGACUCUAGAGAGACUGCCGUCGUAAGAUGUGAGGAAGGUGGGGAUGACGUCAAAUCAGCACGGCCCUUACGUCCGGGGCUACACACGUGUUACAAUGGGGGGUACAGAAGGCAGCUACCUGGUGACAGGAUGCUAAUCCCAAAAGCCUCUCUCAGUUCGGAUCGAAGUCUGCAACCCGACUUCGUGAAGCUGGAUUCGCUAGUAAUCGCGCAUCAGCCAUGGCGCAGUGAAUACGUUCCCGGGCCUUGUACACACCGCCCGUCAAGCCAUGAAAGCCGGGGGUACCUGAAGUACGUAACCGCAAGGAGCGUCCUAGGGUAAAACUGGUAAUUGGGGCUAAGU